rnacentral:lncRNA from 1 species
AUUGCUCCUGUGUUUCAUAGAUGGGAAAUCAUACUGAUGACUCAACCAUAUAUAGCAUUAUUUUGCUGGUUCAUGCUACCUCAGCGGAAACAGCUGCCAAAGGUCAUCUGACAUAAUAGCUGAUGAAUUCAAGCCCAGUGGAUUUCAUUUGCAAUUUUCAAUUUACUGAGGCCUCCAAACCCCACGGUGAUAAAAGCUUCCCCUAUCGUGGCCUGUCACAAACAUCAAGAAACUGCACAAACCCACAAGAAAGAAAAAAGAGAAAGCUGUGCAUCAUCACAGCUAUAGAUAAGGAGAACAGGAAGAAAUGGUAUCAUGCAGGAAGAUGGGGAGCAGCCUGUGUGGCUAGUUCUCUAAAUGCCAAUUGAAACGAAAAGACUAUGAGGAACAAUCAAAUAACUUCCACAGAAUAACAACAUGUUUCUUUGGAGCUUUUAUGUGAAAAUUGCCUUCUAAUCUCUGACUUGACAUGCUCCCACACAAAAAUAUAAAUGGUAGAUCCUUUGAUUGAUUUGCCAGGGAAGUCAAAGGACUGACAUAGCAACUACUUGUAAGUGGAUCUAGAUGUAGUACAUAUCAAAGAUGCAUUAGCAAGAAGAAGAAAGCCAUUUUUCCCCCUGUCAAACUAUUUACAAUGAACUUAGGCAGGAUCGGGAACUGAAUCCUGUUCCCAGGCAGUUGUUCAAAUUGAGCAAACCAUAUGUGUGUUUCUUGGAGAAUAGCAAGUUUGAUAACUCAGCAGGUCACCUUUGUCCUAUCCUACUUGACUCAU